rnacentral:lncRNA from 1 species
AGAGCUAAUUUUCUAUUGCCCCCCACAAACAGUUUUAUAGAUAUUUAUGUCGAGAAAUUAAUACUCAGGAAUGAAGUAACUCAACCAUCUUCACAGAGGUCAUGAUACGAAACAAUUUGUCCUCUAAAAUACUUACCUACACUAGGUACUUGACUGAAAAAAUGGAUAGGGUUGUACGUUAUCUGUCCUAUCUUAUCAAGGAUAAUAUGGGGAAGCUCGUAUGGAGCUUCAACCCCAUCAACCUUAGAGAACGACUGUCUGUCCAGCAAGCACAUUUUUCGGCAUUCCCUGCAAUUUCUUUCAAAGGAACCAUCUUCACAGAGGUCAUGAUACGAAACAAUUUGUCCUCUAAAAUACUUACCUACACUAGGUACUUGACUGAAAAAAUGGAUAGGGUUGUACGUUAUCUGUCCUAUCUUAUCAAGGAUAAUAUGGGGAAGCUCGUAUGGAGCUUCAACCCCAUCAACCUUAGAGAACGACUGUCUGUCCAGCAAGCACAUUUUUCGGCAUUCCCUGCAAUUUCUUUCAAAGAAAAUACAGAAGAAGAUGAGCAAGUAAAAGAUUUUUUCCUCUGGAACACCUAUCAAGUGAAGAAAAAGGUAUGAAUUCCAAAUUCUUCACCGCCAAAUGGAUUAGAUGUCCACCUGCAGAUAUUAGAAACAAGAUAUAUGAAUAUCAAAAUAUUAAUAACAAAAAGAAAGAAUUCUUUACAGAUUCCUAUAAGCAGGAUCACAGUAAAAUAUAUGUCCACAGCAUAUAAAUUUAAUGCACAUAGAAAUAUGGCAGUUAGAAGCAUAUUCGUUGUACCCAUUCUCACCUUGAAACAAUACAAUUUAGCCCCUAUUUGAGAAUAUUUUUUGGGGAAAUGUAUUUUAGAAUAGUGAUUUUCUAAGAAUGUGUGGUUAAAAGAUAGAGAAAAAUUUUUGAUUUACGUAAAAAAUGAGUUUUGAAUAAAUGAAUUUUGGAA